AACAGGCUGAUCGCGGACGAGAGUACACAUUGUCUCCGCGGAUUGGCACCUCGAUGUCGACUCAUCCUAUCCUCUGGGGGAAGAAGCUUGGAAGGGUUCGGCUGUUCGCCGAUUAAAAGGGUACGUGAGUUGGGUUUAAUACGACGUGAACUACAAAAUUUUAAUUAAACCCUUAAAU
rnacentral:ncRNA from 1 species